GGGCGGUUGAACCUGCCGGACCUGACUGCUAUCGGAUUGAUACUAAGCCAUGCGAGUCAUUGUAGCAAUACAAGGCAUACGGCUCAGUAACGCGUAGUCAACCUACCCUAUGGACGGGAAUAACCUCGGGAAACUGAGUAUAAUGCCCGAUAGAACACUAUACCUGGAAUGGUUUGUGUUUCAAAUGAUUUAUUGCCGUAGGAUGGGACUGCGGCCUAUCAGUUUGUUGGUGAGGUAAUGGCCCACCAAGACUAUUACAGGUACGGGCUCUGAGAGGAGUGGCCCGGAGAUGGGUACUGAGACACGGACCCAGGCCCUAUGGGGCGCAGCAGGCGAGAAAACUUUGCAAUGUGCGAAAGCACGACAAGGUUAAUCCGAGUGGUUUCUGCUAAAGGAACCUUUUGACAGUCCUAGAAACACUGUUGAAUAAGGGGUGGGCAAGUUCUGGUGUC
rnacentral:rRNA from 1 species